rnacentral:rRNA from 1 species
AGAAUCAACGCUGGCGGCGUGCCUAACACAUGCAAGUCGAACGCGAAAGGGACUUCGGUCCUGAGUAGAGUGGCGAACGGGUGAGUAACGCGUGGGUGACCUACCCUCGAGUGGGGGAUAACGUUCCGAAAGGGACGCUAAUACCGCAUGACAUUCCGGGUUUGAAGACCUGGAAAUCAAAGCCGGGGACCGCAAGGCCUGGCGCUAGAGGAGGGGCCCGCGUCUGAUUAGCUAGUUGGCGGGUAAUGGCCCACCAAGGCGACGAUCA